GAAAAGAAACCAACAGGGAUUGCCCUAGUAACGGCGAGUGAAGCGGCAACAGCUCAAAUUUGAAAUCUGGCUUCGGCCCGAGUUGUAAUUUGUAGAGGAUGCUUUUGGUGAGGUGCCUUCUGAGUUCCCUGGAACGGGACGCCAGAGAGGGUGAGAGCCCCGUAUAGUCGGCCACCGAUCCUUUGUAAAGCUCCUUCGACGAGUCGAGUAGUUUGGGAAUGCUGCUCAAAAUGGGAGGUAUAUCUCUUCUAAAGCUAAAUAUAGGCCAGAGACCGAUAGCGCACAAGUAGAGUGAUCGAAAGAUGAAAAGCACUUUGAAAAGAGGGUUAAAUAGCACGUGAAAUUGUUGAAAGGGAAGCGCUUGUGACCAGACUUGUGCCGGGCUGAUCAUCCAGUGUUCUCACUGGUGCACUCGACCCGGCUCAGGCCAGCGUCGGUUUUCGUGGGGGGAUAAAAGCUUCGGGAACGUGGCACCUUCGGGUGUGUUAUAGCCCGUUGCUUAAUACCUCCGUGGAGACCGA
rnacentral:rRNA from 1 species